rnacentral:rRNA from 1 species
AUGCACGCUGGCGGCGUGCCUAAUACCUGCCAGUCGAGCGAACAGACGAGGAGCUUGCUCCUCUGACGUUAGCGGCGGACGGGUGAGUAACACGUGGAUAACCUACCUAUAAGACUGGGAUAACUUCGGGAAACCGGAGCUAAUACCGGAUAAUAUAUUGAACCGCAUGGUUCAAUAGUGAAAGACGGUUUUGCUGUCACUUAUAGAUGGAUCCGCGCCGCAUUAGCUAGUUGGUAAGGUAACGGCUUACCAAGGCAACGAUGCGUAGCCGACCUGAGAGGGUGAUCGGCCACACUGGAACUGAGACACGGUCCAGACUCCUACGGGAGGCAGCAGUAGGGAAUCUUCCGCAAUGGGCGAAAGCUUGACGGAGCAACGCCGCGUGAGUGAUGAAGGUCUUCGGAUCGUAAAACUCUGUUAUUAGGGAAGAACAAAUGUGUAAGUAACUAUGCACGUCUUGACGGUACCUAAUCAGAAAGCCACGGCUAACUACGU